rnacentral:misc_RNA from 1 species
AUAUUUAGUCUUCUUCCCAGCCUGGAAACAAGACAUCUUUGGAGAAGAACUGGAACGUCAACUACGAAUUAUUCACACAACUGUCAAACCUUUUAAUAAUCACUCGUUUUUUUUAUGGUUUUUUUCUCACUGGUACAUCGACUUUUCUGACAAUAUAUAAUGACUUUCCAAAACGUUAUCCGGAUUGUCAGGACAUCGGGAAUUGUACGGAGAGCUUUUCUGCACCAGUUAUUCAUUGUGGCUCGAAAAGUUAACUUUUUGCCAACAAAAUUGAUCCUUGGUGCACCUUUGAUUGCACAGUUUACCAAAUUGGAUCCACUGCCACCGUCUGAUGUCACCAAAGCAAUGUUAGCAGAAGCUGAUGCACUUUUUGAACAGGGGAAAUAUCUGAAUCUCUAUGAAAAGUUCAAAAAUUAUAAAGAUGGAAGUAGUGCAGAAAUGUUGUGGCGACUUUCUCGAGCACUUUAUCACAUGUCAAAAAGUGCAAACCCAGACGAAGCGAAAGCAAUGAUUUACGAAGCUUAUGAUCUUGUGUCCAAAGCCUUGUCGCUCGAAGAUGACAUAUCACAAGUUCAUAAAUGGUACACCGUUCUGUUGGAUAGUAAAUCUGAAUACGAGGGUAAAAAAGCACGUAUUCAACAAUUACAAACUGUGAAGAAUCAUAUGCUGAGAGCGCUUGAGUUGAAUCCAAAAGACGCAACGAUUUUGUAUAUGUUGGGGAAUUGGUGCUAUUGUGUAGCCGAUCUCGCCUGGUAUCAGAGGAAGAUUGCAGCAGUCAUUUUUGCAGCUCCUCCAACUUCGUCUUUCCAAGAGGCUUUAGAAUUUCUGCUCAAAGCAGAAGAAAUCGAUCCGAAUUUUUACAGCCAGAAUUUACUCCUGCUUGGAAAAACUUAUCUCAAAUUGAAUAACAAAGAAGAAGGAGUGAAAUACUUGAAAAUGGCAUCGGAAUAUCCUGCGAGAAACAACGAUGAUCAGGACGCUAAACAAGAAGCAACGAAACUACUCAGUGGCUUAUGAAAAGAUGUUAAAUGAGCUGUUGGUUUUGUGAAUUCUUCUGAUUUUCAAUCGUGGUCUCUGGCAGAGGCCUUGCUCCAUCGACGUCCGAUUCUCGAGCCGUGUUAUCGUUUUUUUUCUUCACAUGACCAUGGGCUUCUAGUGUCGAGGAAACUUCUGACAGUUCUACAACAAUACGACGAAAGGAAUUAUUCAUCAAGGAUCGACCCUGCGUGCCCAGGCUGCCCUGAGCGAGAUCAGGUUCGCAAUAAUUGGGCGAUGCUUCAAGAAAAACGAGCUCGCUCCUUUUUGGAAUCCUCUUUUGGCUCAUUCCCGGACCACCGCUA